UUGGACUUUUAAUACGUCUGUUUAUUCGGUACACCACUCUGAUUUAAAUUUUCUUACAAAGAAAUUUUCGUUGUGGUCUUGUGCUCUAACUCCUACUGGUCCACCUUUCCGCCUGUCCCGGAAGUAAUGUAAUUAAUUACAUCACCAUAAUCUGCUUUCUGGAGGCGCUGCUAUCCAAUUCCGAGUGGAAGAGGCCAAGGGGACACCCACAAAGUUCAUGGAUCCUGCCAUGAGGGCAUAGUAUGGGAAAGGGCCCUGCUUGGGGACUUGCUUGGAUUGGUCCCCGGGGUAGGCGUCCUAGGGCGGGCUAGGUUGUGCUCCUCCCCUCCCUCUCCCGGAGUAUGCCCGAUUUGGUUGAUUGAUCACUCUUCAGGCUGUAAGUUGCUUCGUUUUCUAGCUCUGUCGAAAGAGAAAAUUUUCAGAUAUCCAACUUCUAUUACAUGAGUUAAGUGGGCAGCCUGUUGGCCUUUUAUUACCCAAAUGACGUGUAGGGGACAGAACAUGUCAUCUACUCAGAGUCAAAUGACUUGUGAAUAUGCCACCAAUUAAUUUUCUUCUUGACAACUCACUCUUUUCCUGAAAAAAACAGCAUAUAUUUAGACUAUUUUCAUACUCCUUGAGCUCUCUACCAUAAAAAGUUUCUUACCCCCGCAAAGAAUUAUUAUAGGGGUCUCCGAGGGGGGGCGUGACGUUACUUGGCACACAGGCUUCCUCCCUCGCGCGGGACCACCCCCACGAUCACCAAGGCACCACCACCACCGCCACCACUCGCUCGGGGCCCGGUGCCAGUCGCCUUCCCGCCAGCGUCGAGGUCUGUCCGUUCCUCGCAAUCAAUAUGAACACCCACACACCUCCCGCCGCCUCGCAGGGAACCUCCACCUCCGCAACUCGUGACUCCCCCACGCAGGAGGUUCAGGAGAUAGCCAAAAAGUCACUUCUUGCCAUGCAGGACCAAGCGGGGGAUUCCAUGGGUGGAGGAGGUGGUGGUGGUGGUGGCCUAAAUAUUUCCGAUGUCUUGUACCUAACCGAUGUGGACUCCGAGGCGCUGUGUCUUGAUCCUCUAUAUCAGCAGUGACCAGGAUUAACCAAGCCCGGAGCCAUCCCUCUCUCCCCUUCCCCCGCUCCUCCCGUCCAGCUUGAACUCCUCUCAUCUGACCAUCAGAUAUCAUUUUAGAAGAAUCAACUAAAGGGUUACCACGAGGGUUGGUUCACUGCAGCAACUGUCAUGUGUCACGCGUCAUGUGCCUUACACCCGCCAACGCAACACCGUAGCUGAGGAAGGAAAAGUCAGUAAAAGGAAUUCGAAACAUUACAAGACAUUGCUGGCGUCUGGAGAGAUCGCAACACCACAGCAUGCAGAAGGGACACGAGGGCGGUGGAAGGAUAUCCAUGCUGGCAAGGGCGUCGCAUCAACAGCAACUUCUUUUUUUUUCGAAGGGGUUGUGUGUCCUCCAGUGCCACUGACCUAGAGUGUCUUCCUCUAUUCCCAUGACUACUCCUGCUUUCCCCCAUGUUCAGUGACCAGUCAAUGUCUUCCCAAGGGCGCCGCUGUCCCCCUCGAGUAUCAGUAUGGCCCUGCUGUGGCCCAAUGUCUUUCCUACUUCUCCAGUGCCCAGCGUCUUCUUAUUAAUACCGCCUUGAGUACCGCUGUCUUUCUAGCUCCUCCUUUCCCGUGUAGCUACCUCGUCUUCAAUUCUUCUCUUCCCUUACCGCUGUCUUCCUAGUUUAACCUUCAUUCAGCGCUUCCAAAUGAUCUUCCAUCAAACACUUAGUGCAAUUUGUGCUAAAGCAAUAACAAAAGUAAGUUUUGGGCUGUCAAAGCUUCCGAGAGAUCUUCCAUCAAGUAGGUAGCUUUUAUGUCCACAACGAGGGUGUUUUUGACUCUCGCUUUACUGUUAUUUUUUUUCAGAAACUUGACUAAAUAGAGAGCCGAAAGUGCUUUUGUAGUGAUGUAUUGGGGCAUCAUUUAUUAUGAAUAGAACUAUAUUGUUAAGAAA